rnacentral:lncRNA from 1 species
AGAUAGAAUCUCACUAUGUUGACCAGGCUGGUCUUGAACUCUUGGCACCCAAGCGAUCCUUUUGCCUGGAAUCCCAAAGUGUCAGAUUUACUGAAGAAUAUUUCAUUGUAAUUACUUUUUAUACUUUAUAGGUCAAGAGCUCUGUUUUAAAGACAAAAUUUAUUGAAUAUACUUUUUCAAAC